CAGCACCUUCACUCCCAACACUGAGAAGAAAAUAGAAGACGAAGGCAGCAUCCAUCCGACAUCUUUCUCCAACAAAGGAGAUGGCGGGCCUUUGCUGGAUGGCUGUGACACUCGCCUUCUUCCUGUCUACUGAAAACAGUUUUGCUGCUGUGGACCAGAAUAGGCUUGCAAGUAUUGUAAAUGGCAUCUUGAAAGCGUACAGAACAGAAGGCAUGUUCAGUCUGGCUGUAAGCAUCCCAGAUGACCAGAAUCGGAAAAUCUCCGAUAUCCUGCAGCAAGUCUUUCAAAGUGAUCCUGUUGAAGACGUAGCAAAACAGCUUGAUGAGAACAAGUUGUACGUCGGCAACAGGGUGGUUGCAGCCAUACCUCUGCCUCUGAAAAAAAAAAAAACUGAUCAUGCAGAGUCACGUGUUGCGGACUACUUGGUCCACUUGUUCAACCGUCGCGAUGAGAAUGACUUGUUGCUUUUCUAUGUUUAUGCCUCCCCAUGUGUUGACAAAUGUACAAAUAACUUACAUUCUGGGAAUAUCCUCGGAAGGAUAAAUCUAAUUCAGCAAUGGAAGAGCCACGCUUUUGUGUUUUCUAAAAUCUUCAAACCUUUGCUUGACUCGAAGAAGAACACAAAAGAAACAAAAAACCCAAAACACUGGGUAAAUACAGCCAUUGGGCGACUCGGGUCGGUAGUUGGUCUUGACAACAUAUUCCGCUGUGAAAGAGAAAAUGGUUGGAUGCAGUGCAUCAGCUGCUCCAGUAAUGAUCAAGUUACACAGGCUUGUGUUUCAGAUACAAAUACACAACCUCAGCAAGUUCAGGUUGGCAGUGAAA